GCGUUCUCUUUUCUCUGCGAGCCUGACACAGACAGGCGUCAGUAAGUCGCCAUGCCGGUUGCCAGGAGUUGGGUUUGUAGUAAGACAUACGUCACCCCCAGACGUCCCUUCGAGAAAUCGCGUCUCGACCAGGAGUUGAAACUCAUUGGCGAGUAUGGCCUCAGGAAUAAGAGAGAAGUCUGGCGGGUAAAGUUCACUCUGGCCAAAAUCCGCAAAGCUGCCAGAGAGCUUCUCACUCUGGAUGAGAAGGAUCCGAAGCGUCUCUUCGAAGGCAAUGCUUUGCUCAGGCGUCUGGUGCGCAUUGGUGUGCUGGAUGAGGGCAAGAUGAAGCUUGAUUACAUUUUGGGCUUGAAAGUGGAGGACUUCUUGGAGAGGAGGCUGCAGACUCAGGUCUUCAAGCUUGGUCUGGCCAAGAGCAUCCACCACGCUCGUGUGCUCAUCCGUCAGAGGCACAUCCGGUAAGAUGCUAAAUGCAUAUAGUUCAGGACUUUUAACCAUGUAAUCUGCACAUUGAAUGUGUAUUGAGGUUUUCUUCCUCUCUCAUUAGUUGACCGUGUUUAAACUUCUCCUGGUGAGAGGGAAUGAAAUAUUCUGCAAGGUCAAUUCGGUGAUUAAACCGUAUACCUUUGCUUAUUAAAAAAAUAAGCCCAAAAACCACAGGUUCCCAUGACGUCUGGGGUGCUUUUAUCGCACAAAACAGAGUCUACCAGGGUGCGUAAGCAGGUCGUGAACAUCCCCUCCUUUGUGGUGAGGCUGGACAGCCAGAAGCACAUCGACUUCUCUCUCCGCUCUCCAUACGGUGGUGGCCGCCCUGGCCGGGUCAAGCGAAAGAAUGCCAAGAAG